rnacentral:rRNA from 1 species
AUUGAACGCUGGCGGCAGGCCUAACACAUGCAAGUCGAGCGGAUGAAGGGAGCUUGCUCCUGGAUUCAGCGGCGGACGGGUGAGUAAUGCCUAGGAAUCUGCCUGGUAGUGGGGGAUAACGUCCGGAAACGGGCGCUAAUACCGCAUACGUCCUGAGUGAGAAAGUGGGGGAUCUUCGGACCUCACGCUAUCAGAUGAGCCUAGGUCGGAUUAGCUAGUUGGUGGGGUAAAGGCCUACCAAGGCGACGAUCCGUAACUGGUCUGAGAGGAUGAUCAGUCACACUGGAACUGAGACACGGUCCAGACUCCUACGGGAGGCAGCAGUGGGGAAUCUUGGACAAUGGGCGAAAGCCUGAUCCAGCAAUGCCGCGUGUGUGAAGAAGGUCUUCGGAUUGUAAAGCACUUUAAGUUGGGAGGAAGGGCAGUAAGUUAAUACCUUGCUGUCUUGACGUUACCAACAGAAUAAGCACCGGCUAACUUCGUG